rnacentral:rRNA from 1 species
AAACUUUCAACAACGGAUCUCUUGGUUCUGGCAUCGAUGAAGAACGCAGCAAAAUGCGAUAAGUAAUGUGAAUUUGCAGAAUUCAGUGAAUCAUCGAAUCUUUGAACGCACAUUGCGCCCGCCAGUAUUCUGGCGGGCAUGCCUGUUCGAGCGUCAUUU